CCGAGGUACAGACCCUAGAAGCUACGGUUUGAAAGCUUCCGUGCUGCUGGUUAAAUUGCUUGCACAUUUUGGCUGCUUGCGUCAAUCCUUCGCGACUCAGGUGAAACUGGUAGUGCUGAAAGCGGCACCCACCAUCCUCAGUUAGGUCACUGGGGGAAAUGCCUGGCUUGCCACCGACUACAAGGUAAAAGCUUGUGAGUGGCACAAUGGAUGAAUCUAGAAUUUGCAGGCUAGGGGUGAAAGCAGAUAGGUUGUGUGACUCUCAAUCGAACGAUACUCUUCAGCACCAAGACUCAAAUUGUGCUGGCGCAAGUAGCAGGCAUUCCUUGCAAGAGGAUGAAGACAGUAACUUGAUAAGAAAGAACAGGAACUUGGUGAACCCAGUGUACUGCACGCAAGAGUCAAGAAUGGAGCCUCCUGGGCCAGAUGGUGGAAAAGAUCCUUCUGAUGAUCAGCAAGAUUCACAGUGCAACAGGAACAAAGGAAGAACCUUAGGAAAAGAAGUGUUACUAUUGAUGCACGCCUUAAACACUCUUUCAACUCCAGAGGAGAAGCUGGCAGCUCUCUGUAAGACAUAUGCUGAUCUUCUGGAGAAGAAGAAAAGAAACAGAGUAACUACAAAACAGCCGGCAGCGAGUACAGACCUAUCCAUAACUACUCCAAGUGUAAAAGGACUAAACUGUUUAAUCAAAAAAACAUAGUGAUUGAAUGGACUUGGAAAACAACAGUCAUCUCUAUGCUGCCUGUGAGAGAAUGACUUAAGAUGGAAGGAUGCACACAGAGCACAAGUGAAGGUACGGGAAAACACAUCCCAUGCUUAUGAAAACCAAAACAAAGCUGGGGUACCUACGGUCACAUCAGACAAAAUAACCUUACAAAUAAAAACUGUGUAAGAACAAAGAAGGGC